CCAGACUCCUACGGGAGGCAGCAGUGGGGAAUAUUGCACAAUGGGGGAAACCCUGAUGCAGCGACGCCGCGUGAGCGAAGAAGUAUUUCGGUAUGUAAAGCUCUAUCAGCAGGGAAGAAAAAAAUGACGGUACCUGAGUAAGAAGCACCGGCUAAAUACGUGCCAGCAGCCGCGGUAAUACGUAUGGUGCAAGCGUUAUCCGGAUUUACUGGGUGUAAAGGGAGCGUAGGCGGCGCGUUAAGUCUGAUGUGAAAACCCGAGGCUCAACCAUGGGACUGCUUUGGAAACUGUAAAACUGGAGUGCAGGAGAGGUAAGCGGAAUUCCUAGUGUAGCGGUGAAAUGCGUAGAUAUUAGGAGGAACACCAGUGGCGAAGGCGGCUUACUGGACUGUAACUGACGUUGAGGCUCGAAGGCGUGGGGAGCAAACAGGAUUAGAUACCCGCGUAAUA
rnacentral:rRNA from 1 species